rnacentral:rRNA from 1 species
AACGAACGCUGGCGGCAUGCCUAACACAUGCAAGUCGAACGAGAUCUUCGGGUCUAGUGGCGCACGGGUGCGUAACGCGCAGGAAUCUGCCCUUUGGUUCGGAAUAACAGUUGGAAACGACUGCUAAUACCGGAUGAUGACGAAAGUCCAAAGAUUUAUCGCCAGAGGAUGAGCCCGCGUAGGAUUAGCUAGUUGGUGGGGUAAAGGCGCACCAAGGCGACGAUCCUUAGCUGGUCUGAGAGGAUGAGCAGCCACACUGGGACUGAGACACGGCCCAGACUCCUACGGGAGGCAGCAGUGGGGAAUAUUGGACAAUGGGCGAAAGCCUGGUCCAGCAAUGCCGCGUGAGUGAUGAAGGCCUUAGGGUUGUAAAGCUCUUUUACCCGGGAUGAUAAUGACAGUACCGGGAGAAUAAGCUCCGGCUAACUCCGUGCCAGCCGCCGCAGUAA